CAGUAGCCACGGGAAUACGGAGGGUGCAAGCGUUAAUCGGAAUUACUGGGCGUAAAGCGCACGCAGGCGGUUUGUUAAGUCAGAUGUGAAAUCCCCGAGCUUAACUUGGGAACUGCAUUUGAAACUGGCAAGCUAGAGUCUUGUAGAGGGGGGUAGAAUUCCAGGUGUAGCGGCGAAAUGCGUAGAGAUCUGGAGGAAUACCGGUGGCGAAGGCGGCCCCCUGGACAAAGACUGACGCUCAGGUGCGAAAGCGUGGGGAGCAAACAGGAUUAGAUACCCGCGUAGUCCCUGUCUCUUAUAC
rnacentral:rRNA from 1 species